CCUACGGGGGCUGCAGUGAGGAAUAUUGGUCAAUGGCCGGAAGGCUGAACCAGCCAAGUCGCGUGAGGGAAUAAGGCCCUAUGGGUCGUAAACCUCUUUUGUCAGGGAGCAAAGGCGUCCACGUGUGGACGAGAGGAGAGUACCUGAAGAAAAAGCAUCGGCUAACUCCGUGCCAGCAGCCGCGGUAAUACGGAGGAUGCGAGCGUUAUCCGGAUUUAUUGGGUUUAAAGGGAGCGUAGGCGGGCGUUCAAGUCAGCUGUAAAAUCGCGCGGCUCAACCGCGCCCCGCAGUUGAAACUGGACGCCUUGAGUUCACAACAGGCAGGCGGAAUUCGUGGUGUAGCGGUGAAAUGCAUAGAUAUCACGAGGAACCCCGAUUGCGAAGGCAGCCUGCCGGGGUGCGACUGACGCUGAGGCUCGAAGGUGCGGGUAUCAAACAGGAUUAGAUACCCCAGUAGUC
rnacentral:rRNA from 1 species